GAUAUCGACGCUUUAACGGAUAUUGGAGAAUUGUGGGCAAGAAAGUACAUUAAUGAUAUAGAAUCUGAAUACAAUAAAUUUCAUUUUUCUAAAACAAAGGAUAAUGUGCUAGAUGCAUUCAGCUCGUAUCUUCGCUGCAGUAGGUGGAUUUGUGCGAUGGGUAACCGAAAAGAUAUCCCACUCAUAGAUUACGUGGGUAAUAUCAGAACUCAGAUGAAUUUGGCUAAAUCUACGUGAAAUUCGACAUUCGUCAAUAUUAUAAUCCACUCCAAAAAUUAGCACCUGAAAUUCGUUCAAGUUCUGCACAUUACAAAUACGAUA